rnacentral:tRNA from 1 species
GGUGGCUCAGUGGUAGAGCGCUUGCCUUCCAAGGCCCUGGGUUCGAUUCCCAGCACCA